CCGCUCCUUCGGAGCCAGCCGGGGACCUCGGGGCGCUGCCAGGGGCUUUGGCAUCUGCGCAUCAGACGUGCGGGACUGACGAGUCUCGUGCCUUCCAGGAGCCAUGGGCAAGAGGAGAAGUGUUGUCAACGCGAGGACGAGCGAUGGAUGGAGAUGCCUGCAACCUAUGGCUGAACUGGAGGUAAUUCACUAGCGGAUCGAUAACCUACCGAAGGUUCCUGAAAGGCUGCAACAUUGUACGGAGCCCGGUUAGCGCUUAAAUCGUUUCUUUAAUGUUUGCUAGCUUGAGGGUACUGAAUAAAACGUUCUGGUUUGUGCUGUGAUUAUUUCUUUGCUGCUUACAGUAAAAAAGAAAAUAAAAAUAAAGCAGAUGUCCCCUGAUAAUUGGCUUUUAAAAAAAAUCCAUAUCUGAUGAGGGAUUUAAAGGAGCAUGAUUGCUUGUCUUUAUGUUUUGCAACGUGUUUGAUUUUUAAGGUCGAGUUGGGGCCUUGCAAGAACGAAUGUGUUUGUGGACAAUAAGAAUGAAUUUAGCAGGGAUCAAUGUAAACAGGGGAAGCCGUCAUCUUUUAAUAUUCCUUUAGCAUCAGUUAUUAACUGAUACAACUUGUGAAGCAAAGAAAAAAGUAUAUUUGAAAUUAUAUAGAAACUAGACAAAGAACUAUUUUUUUCCUGUACAUAAAAUCCCCUGAAUUUCUCAACUAUCUAACUUUCAACAAAAUUGAAUUUGAACAACACUUCUGUGCAGCUGAGGGUAACAUGAGUUGAGCAUUUUUAUACGUGUUUCCAAGGCCUGCAAGCUCAGUAUAGGAGCUCGAGCUUUGUGCUUGAUAUGGUGAGAAAGAUUUGCUGCAUUCACCCUUCUGCUUUAUUGAAUAAAUGUUACCCUGAAAGCUUAAAGAAAGGAGGCUAAAAUAUCACUUAUUUCCAUUGUCUUAUUAUACAAAUUAUAUUUAUCUAGUGGAUGUCUAGAUGCUGUGCAUUUUUUACAUAUAAUUAUCACAUGUCCUAAAAAAUCAUUAAAAUUCUAAUCUAGAAUUUGUAAUCAUUAGAGUAAAUUAAUGUUUUAGGAUAGAUUUUUUUUAAGUAAAACAAUAUGUACUAGAUUUGAUCACUGUAUCUGUAGCUAUGAUCACUAUAUAUUUAAAAAUGUACAUGUAUCUCCUUUUCCUCAGAUUUGUAACAAUAACCACUCUGUUUCAGCUUCAUUUUAAAUCCACACUUCAAAUAAUUGAAACGGAAAUGAAAUAAUAUUUAAUGUCUAAUAAAGAUUUAAAAAAUAAA